UACGGAAGGGGCAAGCGUUGUUCGGAAUCAUUGGGCGUAAAGGGCGCGUAGGUGGUUCUGUAUGUCUACCGUGAAAGCGUACGGCUCAACUGUAUUUUGUCGGUAGAAACUGCAGGACUUGAGGCUGGGAGGGGCUGGUGGAAUUCCCUGUGUAGCGGUGAAAUGCGCGAUAUCGGGAGGAACACCAGUAGCGAAGGCGGCUCGCUGGGCCACACCUGACGCUGAGACGCGAAAGCUAGGGGAGCGAACGAG
rnacentral:rRNA from 1 species